rnacentral:lncRNA from 1 species
CUUCCUCAAGUACAUUCCAGUAAUGUUUAUUAGUAGUGACUUCAGUAACUUGUAACAUUGAGAGUUUAGAAAUAUAUGUGUGGAACCAUACCAUUAUAAGCCAGCUGCUAAAGAUAACAAAGAAACUUUGGUUUAGCAUUCAACAAUUAAGUAGUAACAAAUACAGUUGAGCUGCAUUUGUUAGAACUUAAUUAUUGAAUGUUGAACCAAAUGUUUCUUUGGUAUCUUAUGAUUUAAUUGUAUAAUAAUUAAGUUGUAUAUAAAUAUUAGAGGCUAAAAAUUCAAUUAGAAUCUGUGGAAUACUUUUCUCAAACUAGACUCAACUGAUCUCCUUUCUCCUGUCAUUCUAGUUGUAUAAUUCUCUAAAGUCAUAAAUUUCUCAAAAGUUUUAUUGGAAAAUUAAAAACAUGAUUUUACAUCCAAAGGACCAUUGGUGAGUAUGUCUAAGGUUCUGUUUCAUGCUAUUGUUUCUGAAAUGCUAGAUAUGCCAUAGUUCUAAAACCAAAUUUUUGGGAAAGUGUUCAGAAGCCUAUUUCUUACCUAUUCUUUUAAGAGGUAGAUCUAAGUAAUUGUGUACUGAAAUAUAAAAUGUGUUGCACAUUUUAAAAUCAGUUUUUCUUUAUAUAGUGCAUUUGCUUUUUAUUAAAUGACUCACUGCAGAAAAAGAAAAUCCUUUGCACUGGUAUCAGUAGACCUUUAUAUCAAAAUUCAAGUGAUAAUUAGAUUUAAUAGGAAUUUUAUAAAUUAUGGUCAUCCCUACUUAUAAGUUACAUAUGUAAAUGGACUGGUAGAGUUCAGUGGUAGAGCACUUGCCAAGCAUGCGCAAGGUUCUAGUUUCUAUCCCCAACACAACAACAAAAAAAUUAGUAAAAAUUACAAAAUUAAUUAGAUAUAUGGUAUUCAUACUUACAUAUUGCAUGUUGUCCACAUUAGGGAGGGGGGGUACCCAGGAUUGAACUUCGGGAUACUCAACCACUGAGCCACAUCCCCAGCCCAAUUUGGUAUUUUAUUUAGAGACGGUGUCUCUCUGAAUUGCAGAGCACCUCACCAUUGCUGAGAGUGGCUUUGAACUUAAGGAUCCUCUAGUCUCAGCCCACCCCUGAACUGUUGGGAUCACCAACUUGUGCCACCAUGCCUGGCAGUGUCUUUUGAGAAUAAUGGCAUCUAAUGGAUCAAGGAAUAACUUUCAAGGACAUUUGUCUUACAUUCUUUAAUUCUACUGUACAUAUUAUGACUUGUAGAACUGAGUCAUUAAUAACUUACUUCUGGGCUGAGGAUGUGACUCAGCGGUAAUGCAUUUGCCUGGCAUGUGUGAGGAACUGGGUUCGAUUCUCAGCACCGCAUAUAAAUAAAUAAAGGUCUAUCAACAACUAAAAAAAAAAAAAAAAAGACCUUUAUUUUUUUUUUCUCUUGCCUGAAGAUUAAACCCAGAAGCACUUUUACUACUGAGCUACAUCCCCAGCAGUACUUCUUGUUUUCGAAAUAAGGUCUAACUAAAUUGCUUAGGACUUUGCUAAAUUGCUGAGGCUGGCCUUGAACUUGUGAUCCUCCUGCUUUACCUCCCAAGUCAUUGAGAUUAUAGGCAUGCACCAUUCUACUCCUUGGAAACCAGAGGUGAAUGUUCCUUUAAAGAAACUUAAUAUAAUUGAAAUUCAGCUUUUUGCUUAAAAUAAAGUUGCUUUUUUCUUCUUUUUGAUAUUUACAUUUUUAUUUUCAUCUACAUACCAUGUAAAAUCCUUCUCCCUAUGUAAUUAGAUUGUAAACCUGUUAGACUACAUACUAUUAAAUGCAUGUAUCCUGAAUUAUACUGAAUAUAUGGCCUCUGGGUAAAUUCUAAAUAUCAGUUUUCCACUUCUUCUUUCCUGUACUGUUGC